AUGGAGGCAGCAGUGGGGAAUAUUGCACAAUGGGCGAAAGCCUGAUGCAGCGACGCCGCGUGAGGGAUGACGGCCUUCAGGUUGUAAACCUCUUUCAGCAGGGACGAAGCGAAAGUGACGGUACCUGCAGAAGAAGCGCCGGCCAACUACGUGCCAGCAGCCGCGGUAAGACGUAGGGCGCGAGCGUUGUCCGGAUUUAUUGGGCGUAAAGAGCUCGUAGGCGGCUUGUCGCGUCGACUGUGAAAACCCGUGGCUCAACCAUGUGGUCUGCAGUCGAUACGGGCAGGCUAGAAUUCGGUAGGGGAGACUGGAAUUCCUGGUGUAGCGGUGAAAUGCGCAGAUAUCAGGAGGAACACCGGUGGCGAAGGCGGGUCUCUGGGCCGAUAUUGACGCUGGGGAGCGAAAGCGUGGGGAGCGAACAGGAUUAGAUACCCCGGU
rnacentral:rRNA from 1 species